rnacentral:rRNA from 1 species
AGUGAACGCUGGCGGUAGGCCUAACACAUGCAAGUCGAACGGCAGCACAGUAAGAGCUUGCUCUUACGGGUGGCGAGUGGCGGACGGGUGAGGAAUACAUCGGAAUCUACUUUUUCGUGGGGGAUAACGUAGGGAAACUUACGCUAAUACCGCAUACGACCUACGGGUGAAAGCAGGGGAUCUUCGGACCUUGCGCGAUUGAAUGAGCCGAUGUCGGAUUAGCUAGUUGGCGGGGUAAAGGCCCACCAAGGCGACGAUCCGUAGCUGGUCUGAGAGGAUGAUCAGCCACACUGGAACUGAGACACGGUCCAGACUCCUACGGGAGGCAGCAGUGGGGAAUAUUGGACAAUGGGCGCAAGCCUGAUCCGGCCAUACCGCGUGGGUGAAGAAGGCCUUCGGGUUGUAAAGCCCUUUUGCUGGGAAAGAAAAGCAGCAGGUUAAUACCCCGCUGUUCUGACGGUACCCAAAGAAUAAGCACCGGCUAACUUCGUG